ACACUAAGAAACAACAGUUAUCGGAAACAGCUAUUGGAACAAACUGACACUACAGCCAUCUGUUGCAAAACCCUCAAAACUAAAUCACACUCCUAAUACUUGCCAUAUACGUCGUAAUUUACAUGCAAUAAGACUUACCACGCGAAAAAGAUCCAUAAUUCGGACAGCGAAUACACGUUCCGUGCGCCAAGCUUCGAGCCGGAGAAACCAUACCGAUUCAAUUCAAAUGCGCAGUACUACGUGAGUCGUACGAAAGUCAAACUGCACGAGUCAAGUGAGUGUCCCAGCGCUACGCGAGUCGUUGCCCCGUCCGUUUCGCCAAUAUAGCGGCCGCUGGGGAACCUAACCUGGGUUCGUGUGUAUGUAACUCGCGUCUGGUAGAUGUGCGAAAGUUAAGAAAAAAAGAGAAAAAUGCCGAAUACUCAAUAGAGAUUCCGAAAAACGUGGAAGCGUAAUCUGUGCGUACCAAUAAUAUACGUUGUUCCGAUAGAGACAACAGAAGAAUCUAACAGAAUCUACGGAAAGGAUCUUGUGAUUGGCGAGUGCCAAUUCCGCUUCCGCGAGUUCUGCUCCAUCGGACAAUGGAAAAUAUACUUCAGCGGAGUCGAAUCGGCGGAAUGUCGGUUACACGUAUAUUAUUUACAUGUACAUUUGACACGGGAAUAUAUCAGAGAAUAUUCGCGAGAUUGUUGGCAAAAUUCCAUAGAUGCUCUUUAGAUGCAUAAUAUGUGCAAUACACAAUUCAGUAAAUAAAAUAUCUGCCCUUAUUUUUUAUGAUUUUCUGCCAUUUCUCGGGUAAAUUUCGAAUUUCUGUGCGAAAAAGUUUUUUCUUAUCUCAGCCACAUCUCAAAACUAGUAGCAAUAUUCAUGUAAUACUAAUUAAUUAUAUCUUUCAUGUCUACAAAAUUUUCAUAAUGUCUAUUUGCGUGCCAUGCUUUUUUAAGAGAAGUAAUUGCGAAAUUAUCAGCGUGUACAGAAUUUCUGACAUACUAAAUUGAAAAAAAUAAUGCAAAAAGAGAUGUAAUGAUUGUCAUACGCAAACGUCUAUAAAUAUGUUAUCGUUUUAUGUGAUGUUUGCGAAGUUUUAAUGAUACAUUGAAGAUGCAAGAAUAUAUACAAUCUUGCUGCGAGAGGCAAAUUGUGAUAGCGAUAAUCACGUUACGCUUACAUGUGUGUAUAAUCACCUGCAACGGUUCGUUAAGGUUUAUCACAGCUAUCGUCUUAAAGAAGGCACAAAUAUAGAUAAUUUGAUGUUAUUUGUAAUUCUUAAUACGCACUUAUUAAAAAUCUAAUUACAUUUACAAG